GCCCAGGUGGCGGAAUUGGUAGACGCGCUAGAUUCAGGUUCUAGUGGCCGCAAGGCCGUGGAAGUUCGAGUCUUCUCCUGGGCACCA
rnacentral:tRNA from 1 species